rnacentral:lncRNA from 1 species
UUUAUUGAGCUACAACUUUUUCUCCAUAAAACCGAUUGUUCCUAGCGCAAGUGGCAAAGGCUUGAUGGUUGGUACCCGAGUUCCCAAGUUCGAAUCCUAAUUGAUUCACAUUUGCAGCUAAGUUUAUUUCUAAAAAAAUAAACGAAGCAGAUAGUAUGCUAUCUUUCUCUCUCAAAAAAUAAACUUUUUCUCCAUAUAGAGAUUAGAAAACUGAAUUGAAAGUAUAUAUGAGAUAA